CACCCCCAAAAAACAAUAAAUUAGUAUGAUCAAAGUAGCCUUGCACGCAAUCUGAUGUCCAGGUGGGCCUUCUUUGAACCAGACGUAUGCACCCAAACGAGAAAUAUUCCGCCGGUUCGACCAUGCCCUCCACAUGUUUGAUGGAAUGCCGAGCUGGGAUGGUCGUCCCGUGCUAGAGCUUCGCUGCUGUGAGGCACUCCUCCGUCGGCACGUCGCAUGUCACACUGCCCGCAGCCCAUACCGGAGGGUGCACGCGGAGUUGAAGUGCGAUUCUCGUCAAACAGCAUCACCUUCUGUUCUGCCAACCGGUAUUCUGCCCAUCUCCUCCUAACAUUUUGUUAGUUUGGGGAAAAGAACUGUAUUGGCUUCAGAUUUGGGGUUUUGCAGCUAAACAAACAUCAAAAUACUGGGCAACCUUCAAUAACAACACCCUUGGCUGUCGGGCAGGAAGCCAGAGGACACCCAUCCAAGUCAUUUCCCGGCCAACUGAGAUUGACGUUCUCCAGCCCCAAGCACAGGUACAGCAACACUCCCAUGAAUGCCAGCCCAGCGUCCAGAGCACCUGAGAGCACAUAAUUGUGCCGCUGCCACCAAUCUCGCCUGUACCUGUAGACCACGUAGCCUGACAAGAAGCCGACAAUGAUCCAUGUAAUAUAAUUCACAGCCGUUGCCGGAGGCAUGGAUCCGGUGGCACCAAUCAAUACUGGCAUGUUUAUGAGACGGAUCCAUUCCUGGUUUGGAAAGGCCUUGUGUCCAAACCAGACGAGCACAGGUGCCAGUGCACCAGCCAGAAAGAACCAGUUGACGUUGGAGUAGGUGCCGAGGUCUCCAAAUAUCCGGCGUGGACCAAUUAGACCCCAUAUGACAGAGGCAUCGUAGAAGACAUGGUCACCGGGGCAGGUCCAUGGACUGUCUGAAGGCAGGAGCUCUUUGUUGCAGAUGUCAGGAAUUGUCUCCAUAAGCCACCAUGCAGUACCCAAAUAAACCAUUGCAGCAAUUACAGUGCCUACAACCUAUAUUGAUUUUCCAACACUCAGUAGUCUGUGGCAACCAAACAAAAGUUGGUUUCUACAGGUAUGCCUCACUCAAAGAUGUUUCAGAUUUCCUAGCUGACAUAAUUUACUGUGCCACAUAGUUUUAUGUUGUCUUAGAGAGGAUCUAACUUUGCUUUCACAAAUAUUGAGCCUUUCAAAUGAACAAAUAUAGGUAGAGUUAUUAAAUUAAGCUGCAUGGCUGGUGUCUUUUUCUUUUUUUUUCUGUUCCUAAUUUGCAAUGUAAAUGUUGCUCAUUUUCUUCAUGUUCUUACUGUAUCGGUCAUAUGUUGUAUCUGCUUUAUUAGAAGCUCAUUUCCUGUGAUCUUCAAUUGGUGUAGGAUUGUAGGAGUGGCAAGCUUAUUUCCUGUUAUGUAAUAUCUAUGAGGCUAUUUUCAUUUGCAGAAACUGUGAUUAUGCAUUGAGUACCAUAUUUUAGUUGGCUAAGAAGAAGAUACAAUUUUAAUCAGCUUUAAUGAGAUGAAUAGAGUAUAUAUGCAGCCAGUACUGUAAUGUUAAGAGUUUGCACUUGGACAAACUUGUGUUUCAAGGGAAAAGCUUGUCCUUUGACAAGUCCAAGAGUUAAGGUUUUCCUCUACACACACACACACACACAAAAUCUUUCCUCGAGGUAGUUUUUUUAAUGUAGAAAUUUGUUAAGUUAGCUGCUUUUUAAAUUUCUGCUAAUUGGUUUUUGUUACGCUUUUGUUGUCAACUAACUAUAUGAGGAAACAUCUUGAUGCUAUAGGGUUUAAGGUCACCUGAGAUUGGUAUGCAAUUAAGAGAUAAACCCUGGAAGAUACAUCAAGACUAGGAACACAAGGUUUUAUACCUAGAUCAUCUUCUUAGUAUUUUAUUCAAGCAAACAAGGCCCAAGAUGCUUAUGUAACUGAUGUCUAAGAAGGAAUGGUUAAACCAAAGACUAAAGCAUAGACAAACCUGAGCCAUGAACAUGGUUCUGGGUGGUAUCUUCAUAUAGUGCCCCAAUUUGAAGUCUUGCAAGAAUGUCAAUGCCUGUGUCAUACUGAUGUACCCAUAUACUUUAAAGCACAUGUUUGCGACUGGGCGUCCAGGGUACAAGUACCCCAUAAUAUACUCUGUAAUAAUGUUUAAGCCUGGUGUCUAGUUCAUCAAACACAGGAAACUAUCAGUCAGGCUAGUUAACCCAGAAUUUGGGACAUAAUAAAGGAAAUCAGCAAGCAAAUACCUGGUUUGUGGUGGCUGUGAUGAUCCCAAUGGGGAGUGUGAAGAAAAUGGCGAUGAAGCAGGCUAAUAAUACACCCCACCAUGGAAGCUGGAGCUGAUCGAUGUAGUACUCGCAUGCAAAGAUGGUAAGAGCAAUGUUGGCAAUAAGGACAGCAAUAAACCACCACUGGGGCACCUGGUCAUAUCUGCUCAUGAGUUUGAGAGGACUCGUACCUUCCGUGAAAGAGAAGAACAUGAGAAAUGGUAGCCGUGAGAGACGCAAAGCCGAUACCAUAAGUCACUGCAAAGAAUGUGCUCAAGUAGAGUGGACCAUUCUUUUCAUAGGCCAUAAUGUCAAGGUGGAAGUUGGAGUCGAUGAUGCUGGAGAUGUUGUAACCCUGCCCAGUUGAUGUGAAAAGUCCAUCCGAGAAGAUAGGGAAGGUCUUUGCCUUGUAGAGGUUGAGCCAAUAUGAAAUUGGUGUGAUGACAUACAUGAUGAGCACAAAACCAGCUGCAACAUUGGCAGUGGCAAACCAAGGGCUGGCAAGGGGGCUACCUAUGUAUGAGGAGAUGGUGGACCAGUCCAAGCCAAUGGCACCGAUGCCAAGGCCAUAGAGACCAGAACCCAGCUGCUGGGCAAGGAUGGACUGGGGGAAGAUCCAACAGACCCAAGAGAGGGAGGGCCCUGCAUGCAGAUAGAAGGAAAGCAGUUGAAGUAGCUUGCAACCUUGUCAAUUCUUCAAGGAAGCAUGGGGUGUACUGCUACUUAAUUGCCGUUGCCCAGAGUUAUGGUUUGAUCUUUCUGCUGCCGACACCACCAUUUCCUUUCUUUCCAGAUCUACUCACAGGUAAUUUUUUCAGAUCUGAGCCGUCAUAUACUCUCACUUUGAUCUUACAGUUCAGGUGCACUAACAAUUAUAUUACUGCUACACUCAUAUCGAAGUUGAUUCCGUUUAGUAAACAAGGAAACCAUGGUAAGAUCAGUUUGUAUGCCAUGUGAAUGAUUAUUAUCAUCAAGCCCAACAAUUAAGCUUCAGAUGUGAAUCAAAAACACAACAGUUGACAUCAGGUGGAUGAUUUCAUGGAGUGUCCUUUUCUUAUGAUUGACAACAGAGAGAGCUUGAAAAGAAUCUGUGUAAACACAAUUUUUUCUACUUAUUAUUAUUAGAUGAGGCUAAUAUUCAACUUUAAAUGUAUAGCAGAUGUCCCCACGAUUGAUGUGGUUUGCAAGCAAGAAUCAA